GUAGGUGGCAAGCGUUGUCCGGAAUUAUUGGGCGUAAAGCGCGCGCAGGCGGUUCUUUAAGUCUGAUGUGAAAGCCUACGGCUCAACCGUGGAGGGUCAUUGGAAACUGGGGAACUUGAGUACAGAAGAGGAAAGCGGAAUUCCACGUGUAGCGGUGAAAUGCGUAGAGAUGUGGAGGAACACCAGUGGCGAAGGCGGCUUUCUGGUCUGUAACUGACGCUGAGGCGCGAAAGCGUGGGGAGCAAACAGGGAUUAGAUACCCUGGUAGUCCACGCCGUAAACGAUGAGUGCUAAGUGUUAGGGGGUUUCCCGCCCCUUAGUGCUGCAGCUAACGCAUUAAGCACUCCGCCUGGGGAGUACGGCCGCAAGGCUG
rnacentral:rRNA from 1 species